UACGUAGGGUGCGAGCGUUGUCCGGAAUUAUUGGGCGUAAAGAGCUCGUAGGCGGUGUGUCACGUCGGCCGUGAAAACCUGGGGCUUAACUCUGGGCGUGCGGUCGAUACGGGCAUCACUAGAGUUCGGCAGGGAGACUGGAAUCCUGGUGUAGCGGUGAAAUGCGCAGAUAUCAGGAGGAACACCGGUGGCGAAAGGCGGG
rnacentral:rRNA from 1 species